rnacentral:rRNA from 1 species
GGAGUUAGCCGGUGCUUCUUCUGUGAGUGAUGUCCUUCCUGCCGGCUAUUAACCCGCAGGCCUUCUUCCUCACUGAAAGUGCUUUACAACCCGAAGGCCUUCUUCACACACGCGGCAUGGCUGGAUCAGGGUUGCCCCCAUUGUCCAAUAUUCCCCACUGCUGCCUCCCGUAGGAGUCUGGUCCGUGUCUCAGUCCCAGUGUGGCUGAUCAUCCUCUCAGACCAGCUACGGAUCGUCGCCUUGGUGAGCCGUUACCUCACCAACCAGCUAAUCCGACAUAGGCUCAUCCGAUAGCGCGAAGGCCCGAAGGUCCCCCGCUUUCCCCCGUAGGGCGUAUGCGGUAUUAGCCUGGGUUUCCCCAGGUUAUCCCCCACUACCGGGCAGAUUCCUAUGCAUUACUCACCCGUCCGCCGCUCGCCACCAGGGAGCAAGCUCCCCGUGCUGCCGCUCGACUUGCAUGUGUUAGGCCUGCCGCCAGCGUUCAAUCUGAGCCAGGAUCAAACUCUGA